UCUUCAUCAACCGAUAACGGUUUUACUUAAUUGUAGAUUAAUAGGGAAUCGUGUGUAAAUCACGAACUGUCGCGCAACUGUAAGUAACAAGCAAAGUUUUUACCAAUAAUGUCCACUGUUUCAAUAAGGAAUGGGAAGGAUGGUGAAAAUGUUACAAGUCAGGAGACCUGCCUUUAUCGAAUUGACAAU
rnacentral:ncRNA from 1 species